GACGAACCAUGAUGUCAUUUAUUUGGUGUUGUGGGGAAUCAGGACGGUUACUUUGAAAAAAUUAAAGUGUUUAAAGCAGGCCCACCCUUGAAUACAUUACCAUGGAAUAAUGAAAUAGGACGUUUGAUUCUAUUUUGUUGGUUUCUAGGAUCGACUUAUUGAUUAAUAGGGAUAGUUGGGGGCAUUAUUAUUCAAUUGUCAGAGGUGAAAUUCUUGGAUUUAUUGAAAACUAACUACUGCGAAAGCAUUUGCCAAGGAUGUUUUCAUUAAUCAAGAACGAAAGUUAGGGGAUCGAAAACGAUCAGAUACCGUCGUAGUCUUAACCAUAAACUAUGCCGACUAGGGAUCGGAUGAUGUUAAUUUUUUAAUGACUCAUUCGGCGCCUUACG
rnacentral:rRNA from 1 species